AUGUUUCUAUUACAAGAAAAAACAAGAAAGAGCGAGGAGAUAAUUUAUAAACACCCAACGGAGCGCAGAUUUAUUAGAGAAACUCGAGUUGAGAAGAAACUCUGCUUGCCUCUGUGCGUGAGGCGCUGCGGGACGUGGAGAGGCUGCGGCCCGGUACCUGGGGUGGGGGCGGGGUACCUGCUUCUCCCGCAGGUUGCUUGCAGAGGGAGACAGGGAUCAGGUUGGUUGCAGAGGGAGACAGGGAUCGGAGGACUGGGAACCCAGACCCGAGCUCGGGUCUCCGAACGAAAAACGCCCUGGAAUCCGGGCCUCUGGCUGCUGAUUCCCGGAGGGCCCAGGGCAGGCCGGGGGCCAGGGCCAGGGCCCAGCGCGCGGGAGCCGCAGCCUCACCUGGAAGCAGCGCGCGGCUGGGGACGAUGCGGCGCCCCGUCUGCCCCCACACCCGUCCUGAUCACGCGCAUUUUGCGGGGGCUGGGCGGCCCAACCCGGGGCUCACAGAGCCUCCGAAGAUGUCCGAGCCGCCCCUCACUUGGCCGCCCCGGGGAGGGGACCCCCCUGCCCAGAGCGCCCUCGGCCCGGACCCGACCCCGACCCCGACGCGCACAAAGGGCUCCGCAGCUCGCACCGGUGCACAGCCGGCCCCACUCACUUCCGAGCCGCAGCGCGGGCCAAGGCUCCGUUCCCCACCCGGGCUGGGGGCCCCCCGCGGGCGGGCUCACCGGGCUCAGUCUCCCGCUGGCGUGGGCAGCCCGCCCCAGCGGCUGCCUCUCCAUCCGCCUCCUGCCGCCGGCGGACCGCGCUCACCUGACCCGCGCACCCGCAGCCGCAGACACAGCUUUCGCCCCCCUGCAUGGAAAAUCUCAUUUCCCCGACUCGGUUCCCUUGGAUUUGGACCCAUUAUUCCCCCGUUUCCACGCGUUUGUGGCUCCCACCGAGCACAGCGACUGGGUGGGAGCAGCACUGAACCCUUCCUCGAGGGGGGAAAUCAGAAAAUUGACCCUUGCAGAAGGGAGGGGAACACCACUGUACCUGAAAUCUAUGAAAUGGGGUGGGGGGAGGCCGUAA
rnacentral:lncRNA from 1 species